AGUGGCGGACGGGUGAGUAACGCGUAAGAAUCUAACUUCAGGACGGGGACAACAGUGGGAAACGACUGCUAAUACCCGAUGUGCCGCGAGGUGAAACCUAAUUGGCCUGAAGAAGAGCUUGCGUCUGAUUAGCUAGUUGGUGGGGUAAGAGCCUACCAAGGCGACGAUCAGUAGCUGGUCUGAGAGGAUGAGCAGCCACACUGGGACUGAGACACGGCCCAGACUCCUACGGGAGGCAGCAGUGGGGAAUUUUCCGCAAUGGGCGAAAGCCUGACGGAGCAACGCCGCGUGAGGGAGGAAGGUCUUUGGAUUGUAAACCUCUUUUCUCAAGGAAGAAGUUCUGACGGUACUUGAGGAAUCAGCCUCGACUAACUCCGUGCCAGCAGCCGCGGUAAUACGGGGGAGGCAAGCGUUAUCCGGAAUUAUUGGGCGUAAAGCGUCCGCAGGUGGUCAGCCAAGUCUGCCGCCAAAUCAGGUUGCUUAACGACCUAAAGGCGGUGGAAACUGGCAGACUAGAGAGCAGUAGGGGUAGCAGGAAUUCCCAGUGUAGCGGUGAAAUGCGUAGAGAUUGGGAAGAACAUCGGUGGCGAAAGCGUGCUACUGGGCUGUAUCUGACACUCAGGGACGAAAGCUAGGGGAGCGAAAGGGAUUAGAUACCCCUGUAGUCCUAGCCGUAAACGAUGGAUACUAGGCGUGGCUU
rnacentral:rRNA from 1 species